UGAGCAAUCUGCCCUUCUCAUCGGAAUAAGCGUUGGAAACGACGUCUAAUGCCGAAUACGACCUCCUUUCGCAUGAUCGGAGGUGGAAAGCUCCGGCGGAGAAGGAUGAGCUCGCGGCCUAUCAGCUAGUUGGUGUGGGUAACGCCCACCAAGGCGACGACGGGUAGCCGGCCUGAGAGGGUGACCGGCCACACGUGGGACUGAGACACGGCCCAGACUCCGUACGGGAGNAGCG
rnacentral:rRNA from 1 species